UGAUGCAUCAUAAUAACUAGUGUAGUGUACAACCGAUCUACACUCGUUAUCGUGACGCUCGCGCUGAAUGAAUUCCCGCUUCUCGGCGGAAGAUGACCGCGUGUCCGAAUAUAUCACUCGAUUCUUAAAGUGGACUAUAUAAGUGAACUAAUGUAGUUAAAUGCACAAAACAAAUUAAUUAUAAGAUUUCUAUUACAUAAGUUUUAAUGGCGGAUGCUUGUUGUCACAUUGAUUUCAACCCGUUUGUCGUGAAUCGACUAUAUCUGAAAAUGUGAACCCCUUAGGAAUGUCAAUGAAGCACCUGACCACACAUUUUAACAAUGUGUCGGGACUUAAUUGAGACUUGAGGAGUAAACGACAUUUCCCGCAGAGAACGAGCACGCGCGGCGCAGACUCCAGGUGAUUGUGCGUGUCAUUUCAGCUGUUGUCAUGGACAGCGGGUGGGAUGUUCCAUGUGUCAGUGUCUGAUGUGAGGGGCCGGGCUGAAGAGACCCAUGGGGUUUCUCUUGGAGGAAGCAGGAGAUGAUCGGGGAGAUAGGAGUAAGUAAUUAGAUCCUGGGGUGAGUGCAGAUCUCUCAGACAUGACCAGCGUCGAGUCCCUGGCUCUGUAGAUCCACUCCAGGCCGUGUUAGCUGUCUCUUUGAGCUUCUCUGGCCCACGGUCCUUAGGAUGUUUUCCAGUAUGACCGCCUGCGGACCAGAGCCUUCCCUCGAGACUGGCAUCCAGUCAUUAACAACUGGCCAUGUUGCCGAGAUCUAAGAGAACAAGUUCAACACAUUCAGAUCUGGGAGCAAAUGUAAAAACAGAGCGGUGUCUGGUGUGUAGUGUAGAUGUACGCAAUAACAAGACGGCGGUCAAAGGUCUGAUUCUUUUGUUUGAAUGGAAGGGAGAUGAAAGUUUUGUUUUGGAUGCUUUUUUUUGUAGCUCUCUCUAUGAAGCCUCAAAGCUGAAAAACAAGUUCGGAAGCCAGCCGCCAUGGGCGGUAAGACUCACUAACUUAGAUUAUUAUUUUUUGUCUCCCAAGGGAUGUUUGUUCAGAAAUGAAAAUCAAUGGGAAAUGUCAAGGGAAAAAGAAAUAUGUACCUGAGUUUGCAAACUUGGUGGUAGAUGCUUGAUACACAGUUUUGGUAACUAUACGUAUGUGUUUUGGUUUAGUUUACAGAAGAAAAGACAUGUGUACUGCAGCUGUGGAUUCUUUUAGAUUCAUAAUCCAUAUUUGUAGUGCCUUAGUUAUUAACUAAGAAUAAUUAAAUUAUUUAAAUUAAUAAAUGCGCACCUUCGCGCACCUUCUCCGAAACCGGUCCGCCUAUGUGGAAUGAUCUGCCUGCUGCUACAAGAUCUGCAGAUUCUGUAGCCAUCUUUAAGAAACACCUGAAAACACAUCUCUUCCGUCAACAUCUUACUGAUCUGUUCUGACUUUAUUUUCUUCUCUACUCUUUUCUUCUCUACCCAUAAAAAAAAGGAUGAAUGAAUUAUUCUGUAUACUGUGUUAGGCUAUAUGAGACCACUCUUCUUUUUGAUUGCACUUAUGCUUUUGUUGUACUUGUGCUGUCCCAAUUGCUUCCAUUACCUACCCCACUUGUAAGUCGCUUUGGAUAAAAGCGUCUGCUAAAUGACUAAAUGUAAAUGUAAAUGAAUGAACCAGACCGACUUAGCCAAAAAUCAAUGUCUCUUAGGUUAAAUCAGGUAAAAUAGUAACAUAAAAAAACAUAAAAUGAGGAGGCAGA